CAGUAGCCACGGGAAUACGAAGGGGGCUAGCGUUGUUCGGAAUUACUGGGCGUAAAGGGCGCGUAGGCGGCCGAUCAAGUCAGGCGUGAAAGCCCCGGGCUUAACCUGGGAAUUGCGUUUGGGACUGGUUGGCUUGAGUUCGGGAGAGGAGAGUGGAAUUCCCAGUGUAGAGGUGAAAUUCGUAGAUAUUGGGAAGAACACCGGUGGCGAAGGCGGCUCUCUGGACCGAUACUGACGCUGAGGCGCGAAAGCGUGGGGAGCAAACAGGAUUAGAUACCCCCGUAGUCCCUGUCUCUUAUAC
rnacentral:rRNA from 1 species